GAGGGGAGCGCUGCAGCUCUAUAUAUCUAGUGCAGUGCAGUGCAGUGCUGGUGCCGGUUGCAGUGCAGUCAGUGGGCCAUGGGGACUAGACUAGACUCUGUGGCCGAAAACAAAGCCUCAAAUUAGGUUAUCCGAUGUUACUGAUCAAGUGAGGAGUCUGCUGUACGUAUGAGCAGUUCAGUAGAACAGCGCAUAAUACAACAGAUGGCAGCCAGUCUGGACGGUGUGUGUGGUCACUGGCCCUCUGCGUUGCUCCAGCGGAGUCACUAGAGCCACUCCAGAGAAUGUGCUAAUUGUCCAAUGUUACUGAUCAAGUGAGGAGUCUGCUGAAUGAGCAGUUCAGUGGAACAGCUCAUAAUGACAUACAACAGGUUGUACUAUUCCUGUGACAAUUGUACUUUACACACAGUAGGUAUGUGAAUACGUUGUGGUCGAGGUACAUGUUAUGAUAUUGAAUAUUGAUACUCAAAGUGUUUGUGCUGCAUGAUAAUAACACCAUAAAGGAACCUGAGGAUUUAGUUUUGCUGUCAAGUGCAAGUAAAGUUCACUCUAUGGGUUGCAUGUAACUCCCUGUGUCCCCUGAGUCCUUGUGCUGUGGUUGCUGAUA